rnacentral:tRNA from 1 species
GCAACCAUGACGGAAUUGGUAGACGUAUCGGUACUUAAUGUGCCGAAGCCAGAGAGUGGCGUGCAGGUUCAAAUCCUGCUGGUUGCA